AAGAUUUUAAAAAAAGAAAGAAAUGUGUUUCUGAAGUGCUUGGUCUCACCAGCUACAAGGAGGAGUUGAAGUGUUUUUUUCUCAGUGUGAAUUGGGGGAUGAAUGUUCUUUUUUUAGAACUGUUCAUUAUUCAUGAUGCCUAUUCCUUUUCUCUUUGGAGAAGCUGGAGGAAGAAAAAACAUCCCGAGUAGU
rnacentral:snoRNA from 1 species